GACGAACGCUGGCGGCGUGCCUAAUACAUGCAAGUCGAACGGUCUUUUCUAUGGAAGCUUGCUUCCACUGAGAAGAUAGUGGCGAACGGGUGAGUAACACGUGGGUAACCUGCCCAUAAGAGGGGGAUAACAUCCGGAAACGGGUGCUAAUACCGCAUAGUUUUCUUGAUCGCAUGAUCGGGAAAGGAAAGACGGCCUUUGUGCUGUCGCUUAUGGAUGGACCCGCGGCGUAUUAGUUAGUUGGUGAGGUAACGGCUCACCAAGACGAUGAUACGUAGCCGACCUGAGAGGGUGAUCGGCCACAUUGGGACUGAGACACGGCCCAAACUCCUACGGGAGGCAGCAGUAGGGAAUCUUCCGCAAUGGACGAAAGUCUGACGGAGCAACGCCGCGUGAGUGAAGAAGGUUUUCGGAUCGUAAAACUCUGUUGUCAGAGAAGAACAAGUUGGAGAGUAACUGCUCCAGCCUUGACGGUAUCUGACCAGAAAGCCACGGCUAACUACGUGCCAGCAGCCGCGGUAAUACGUAGGUGGCAAGCGUUGUCCGGAUUUAUUGGGCGUAAAGCGAGCGCAGGCGGUUCCUUAAGUCUGAUGUGAAAGCCCACGGCUCAACCGUGGAAGGUCAUUGGAAACUGGGGAACUUGAGUGCAGAAGAGGAGAGUGGAAUUC
rnacentral:rRNA from 1 species